rnacentral:rRNA from 1 species
CCUACGGGAGGCAGCAGUGGGGAAUAUUGGACAAUGGGGGGAACCCUGAUCCAGCGACGCCGCGUGAGUGAAGAAGUAUUUCGGUAUGUAAAGCUCUAUCAGCAGGGAAGAAAGAAAUGACGGUACCUGACUAAGAAGCCCCGGCUAACUACGUGCCAGCAGCCGCGGUAAUACGUAGGGGGCAAGCGUUAUCCGGAUUUACUGGGUGUAAAGGGGGCGUAGACGGCGAUGCAAGUCUGAAGUGAAAGGCGGGGGCCCAACCCCUGGACUGCUUUGGAAACUGGAUGGCUGGAGUGCAGGAGAGGUAAGUGGAAUUCCUGGUGUAGCGGUGAAAUGCGUAGAUAUUAGGAGGAACACCAGUGGCGAAGGCGGCUUACUGGACUGUAACUGACGUUGAGGCUCGAAAGCGUGUGGAGCAAACAGGAUUAGAUACCCGUGUAGUC